rnacentral:lncRNA from 1 species
GUUUUUAGAAGUACAUCCAGGAGUUCCUCCAGGAAUUGCUGCCCAAGUUCCUCAGGAUGGCGGUGAAGGCCUCGUUAGAACGGUGCGUAAUUUCGAGUCUCAAGAAGAGGUGGUCGUCGUUUACGACAAAGGCACUGCUAGCAACUAUUGGUACGCGGACGCAUCUGAUCUUCGAAUCCUGGAUAGUGCCCCGACCGAAAUUAAACACGUGAGAACCAUGUACGACAGAUGCCGAUAAUUGCCAUAUGCUGGAAGUGUGCCGAGUGUAACAAUUACGAUCUGUGCUCGAUCUGCUAUCACGGAGAUAUGCAUCAUUUGAGGAAUCGGUUGCAUCGAAUUUUGACACCAGGUGGCGAAAAAACGCUGUUGGAACCGCAACGCAAAUUAAAAAACAUUGCAGUGCGGGGGAUUUUUCCUGGGGCACGUUUUGUCCGAGGAGUCGAUUGGCAGUAGGAAGAUCAGGACGGUGGUAAUGGCCGACGCGAAAAGGUCAAUGUAAUUCAGGACUGGUCUUCGGCUUCAACAAAUUCAGCUGCACUGCAACAAUUUGCUGUGGGUGAUUUUGUCGAGAUUUGCAGUGAUUUGGAGAGGAUCAAGUGGCAUUUUCAUCGGAUGGAUCAACGGCUGUUACUACAAAUGGAGAACGAUUGUCGGCACUUUUGGAAAAGUUAUUUGAACCACACGCGUCUGAUGAUACGACUGAAGAAUUGGUGAAGGCAGCCAAUGGUGAUGUUGCUAAGGAUUGAACCCAACUAUUCAGAAAAACCAGCUAGCAGAAGUUCGGGAGGAAUCCAAAUCCGUAGAGACGCAUAUUACGUAUAAGGAAAAAGGAAUAAAAAAAUAAUAAUCAGGUUCAACAGACUUGUACGAACUGCUCAAAAUGGUUCACAGUCUACUCUGGAAGUCAGCACACAAGAUUGAGCGUCUUCUAGCAUUCAUCCCUCUGGGUGCCAUUACGAAGGACUACAUAUAAUUAAAAAAUUAAAUAAAUAUAAAAAAGGAUUUAUAAUAAAAUAA